rnacentral:tRNA from 1 species
GAAUAUGAAGUGAUAUAUUACAAUUAGUUUCGACCUAAUUCUAGGUAAAAUUUACCCUUAUUCU